UACUGUCUAAUUAAGCUUAACUUAUAGUAAGUACACUUUCAUCACAAUAUUUCUUAACAUACUUAAGUACACUUUUUAAAAAUGCACUUUGUCUAAUUUAGUUUUACUUAAAUGUAACCCUGGUUAAAUAAUUAAAUAUUAUUAUUUUAAAAGUGUGCUUAAAAUAAUAGAGACUAUUCAUACAUCUACAUUUAUUUUAUAAAUGAGGAAAUACAUGUGAAUAAUUCAAUCUGAAUUAUAAAUCUGAAAUGAGUAAACCAAUCGGAGUGUUUAAUUGUAAGCUCCGCCCCUUUUUUGCUUUCGGAUCGCGUCUCAGUUCAGAGGAGAGAUGCAGAGCGACAGAGACACUCUAUCUAACGCGAGAGUGUUUAAUUUGAUUAAAUAUGACUCCUAAGUUCAUAUAAACUGAAGAAAUCAGAAUUUAACUUGCAUAUAUUCAAUGAUACAGCGUGAUUGUGUGGAUUGAGCACUUUUUGAGCUUUCAUUUUGACCUGUGUGAUUAUGUAAAACCACAUGGUGCGUUGUGUUCACUGCUGUUCGCUGACGCCAUUUUGGUUUCACGUGCCUGUGAAAGACAAAAAGAGAGAGAAACACGUGAAUGGACAGGUAUUUGUCUAAAUUGUCAUUUAUUAUGAUGAUGGCACUUAUGUAUGUAUUUUAUUUGUUUCCUGUAUUGUGUACAAUUGUUCAUCAUUAUUGAUACACAAUAUUGAAUGUUUUUUCCUUUCGUAUGAACAUUCCUUGAGCUGGUUUUUCCUAAUUGAUGGCGAGCCUCCCAUUUCGACCUGAUUGGAUCACGAAUCUAGAGGAAAGGACAAAUUUCUAUUUUAAAUAUUUUUCUUCAGACAAGUAAGAGGAUACAUUUCAGAAACUGUUUCCUUAUUUUGUUUGUUUACUUCAUUGAACUGAAACAUUUCAGAAGCACAAAUCUGAUAAUUUAAGACUGAUCAAUACUCCAAUUGAUAAGAACUUUGAACUUGAAUACGGAUUUCAGUGUGUUACAUAUAUAAUUUGUACCAUCUUUGUACAUUGAUUGUGACUGUGAUUUCUGUAAAUGAGAAGUAAUUUAGAGGGUGCACCCAUAGUAUAUAUCCCCCUUCUUCAAAUCUUACCCUGGAGGUCCGGAGCACUACAGAGUUUAGCUCCAACCCUGAUCAAACACACCUGAGCAAGCUAAUCAAGGUCUUCAUGAUCACUAGAAAAUCACAGGUGGGUAAGUUUGAUUAGGGUUGGAGCUAAACUCUGUAGUGCUCUGGACCUCCAGGGUAAGAUUUGAGGAACCCUGGUAUAUAUAGUUAAUUGUAUUUUCAUUGUUGUUUACUAUUUUUUGUGAUUAAGGAAAGAAAAAGAAAGGUUUCUCAAUACUCAAAGUAAAAUAAUUUAUUAAUCAACUUACCUUCUGUCUCUGCUUGUUGCUCACUAUCACUGCUACCUCCUCCUUCGUACCGUGCACCCUUCUGAUCUUAUUAUUAUGCCUGGUCCAUAAGUGAGUUAAUAUCCGCUACAUAAAGAAAGUAAACUUUCAUGGCAAUAUUUCUAAACGCAUUUAAUAAAUGAUCAUUAGACUGAUGUGACCUACCAAAGACUUGUUAAUUUAAAGUUCAUGCAGUUCUUUUUUAGUUGUCUGUUAAAAUGUUAAAAAAUAAUAACUUUGAGUUUAUUUUUUUCUAAGGGAUGUAAUUAUUCAAUAUUGAUAGUGGUUUGAUUCCAAUUUAACAAUAUUAAAAUGAGUUUUUUUUGUUUGGACAUAUACAACUCAUAAUUAAUUUAUUAAAUGUACUUUUGCAAAACAAAAAAUCUGACUACCAAACUGUUUUAUUGUCAGUGUAAGCAUUGUGGUUUUUGUUUGUUUGCAAUGCAUUAAACUGAAAUGAAUACA